rnacentral:rRNA from 1 species
AGAGUUUGAUCCUGGCUCAGGAUGAACGCUGGCGGCGUGCCUAACACAUGCAAGUCGAACGGGGGCAGAUUGAAACCUAGUGAUAUCUGCCCGAGUGGCGGACGGGUGAGUAACGCGUGGACAACCUGCCGUAUGCAGGGGGAUACCAGCUGGAAACAGCUGCUAAUACCGCAUAACCAUAGUUACCGCAUGGUAACUAUGUAAAAGGUGGCUAUGCUACCGCUUUUGGAUGGGUCCGCGGCGCACUAGCUAGUUGGUGGGGUAAAGGCUUACCAAGGCAAUGAUGCGUAGCCGAACUGAGAGGUUGAUCGGCCACAUUGGGACUGAGACACGGCCCAAACUCCUACGGGAGGCAGCAGUAGGGAAUCUUCCACAAUGGGCGAAAGCCUGAUGGAGCAACGCCGCGUGGGUGAAGAAGAUCUUCGGAUCGUAAAACCCUGUUGUUAGAGAAGAAAGUGCGUGAGAGUAACUGUUCACGUUUCGACGGUAUCUAACCAGAAAGCCACGGCUAACUACGUGCCAGCAGCCGCGGUAAUACGUAGGUGGCAAGCGUUAUCCGGAUUUAUUGGGCGUAAAGGGAACGCAGGCGGUCUUUUAAGUCUGAUGUGAAAGCCUUCGGCUUAACCGGAGUAGUGCAUUGGAAACUGGGAGACUUGAGUGCAGAAGAGGAGAGUGGAACUCCAUGUGUAGCGGUGAAAUGCGUAGAUAUAUGGAAGAACACCAGUGGCGAAAGCGGCUCUCUGGUCUGUAACUGACGCUGAGGUUCGAAAGCGUGGGUAGCAAACAGGAUUAGAUACCCUGGUAGUCCACGCCGUAAACGAUG